rnacentral:rRNA from 1 species
CAGUGAAGACGAGUAGGGCGGGGCACGUGAAACCCUGUCUGAACAUGGGGGGACCAUCCUCCAAGGCUAAAUACUACUGACCGACCGAUAGUGAACCAGUACCGUGAGGGAAAGGCGAAAAGAACCCCGGAGAGGGGAGUGAAAUAGAACCUGAAACCGUGUGCGUACAAGCAGUAGGAGCUCCGCAAGGAGUGACUGCGUACCUUUUGUAUAAUGGGUCAGCGACUUACUGUUCGUGGCAAGCUUAACCGUAUAGGGGAGGCGAAGGGAAACCGAGUCUGAUAAGGGCGCAUAGUCGCGGGCAGUAGACCCGAAACCGGGUGAUCUAGUCAUGCCCAGGGUGAAGGUGCGGUAACACGCACUGGAGGCCCGAACCCACUCCCGUUGCAAAGGUAGGGGAUGAGGUGUGAUUAGGAGUGAAAAGCUAAUCGAACCCGGAGAUAGCUGGUUCUCCUCGAAAGCUAUUUAGGUAGCGCCUCAUAUGUAUCCUCUCGGGGGUAGAGCACUGUUAUGGCUAGGGGGUCAUCGCGACUUACCAAACCAUUGCAAACUCCGAAUACCGAGACGGACUGUAUGGGAGACACACGGCGGGUGCUAACGUCCGUCGUGAAAAGGGAAACAACCCAGACCCACAGCUAAGGUCCCAAAUUUUGUGCUAAGUGGAAAACCAUGUGGAAAGGCACAGACAGCCAGGAGGUUGGCUUAGAAGCAGCCACCCUUUAAAGAAAGCGUAAUAGCUCACUGGUCGAGUCGGUCUGCGGGGAAGAUUUAACGGGGCUAAGCACAGAACCGAAGCUUGGGGUGCAUAACUUUGUUAUGCGCGGUAGAGGAGCGUUCCGUAAGCCGUUGAAGGUGGAUUGAGAAGUCUGCUGGAGGUAUCGGAAGUGCGAAUGCUGACAUGAGUAACGAUAAUGCGGGUGAAAAACCCGCACGCCGAAAGCCCAAGGUUUCCUUGCGCAACGUUAAUCGGCGCAGGGUGAGUCGGCCCCUAAGGCGAGGACGAAAGUCGUAGUCGAUGGGAAGCAGGUUAAUAUUCCUGCACCUCGCGUAAGUGCGAUGGAGGGACGGAGAAGGUUAGGUGUACCAGGCGUUGGUUGUCCUGGGGAAAGGCGGUAGGUUUGGAUCUUUGGCAAAUCCGGGAUCCUUUAAGACCGAGCACCGAGACGAGCCUUUAUGGCGAAGUCACUGAUACCACGCUUCCAGGAAAAGCUCCUAAGCUUCAGCUUACGCAGACCGUACCGUAAACCGACACAGGUGGGUAGGAUGAGAAUUCUCAGGCGCUUGAGAGAACUCGGGUGAAGGAACUAGGCAACAUGGCACCGUAACUUCGGGAGAAGGUGCACCCUUUUUGGUGGCUCGUGCGAGCUAUAGCUGAAGAGGGUCGCAGUAACCAGGCCGCUGCGACUGUUUAUCAAAAACACAGCACUCUGCAAACACGAAAGUGGACGUAUAGGGUGUGACGCCUGCCCGGUGCUGGAAGGUUAAUUGAUGGGGUCAGCCGCAAGGCGAAGCUCUUGAUCGAAGCCCCAGUAAACGGCGGCCGUAACUAUAACGGUCCUAAGGUAGCGAAAUUCCUUGUCGGGUAAGUUCCGACCUGCACGAAUGGCGUAACGACAGCGGCGCUGUCUCCACCCGAGACUCAGUGAAAUUGAAAUCGCUGUGAAGAUGCAGCGUUCCCGUGGCAAGACGGAAAGACCCCGUGAACCUUUACUAUAGCUUUACACUGAACGUUGAGUUCGUCUGUGUAGGAUAGGUGGGAGGCUAUGAAACCAUGGCGCUAGCUGUGGCGGAGCCAUCCUUGAAAUACCACCCUGUCGUGCUUGACGUUCUAACCUGGGCCCAUUAUCUGGGUCGGGGACCGUGUAUGGUGGGUAGUUUGACUGGGGCGGUCUCCUCCUAAAGAGUAACGGAGGAGCUCGAAGGUACGCUCAGCGCGGUCGGACAUCGCGCACUGUGUGCAAAGGCAUAAGCGUGCUUGACUGCAAGAUCGACGGAUCAAGCAGGUAGGAAACUAGGACUUAGUGAUCCGGUGGUUCUGUAUGGAAGGGCCAUCGCUCAACGGAUAAAAGGUACUCCGGGGAUAACAGGCUGAUACCGCCCAAGAGUUCAUAUCGACGGCGGUGUUUGGCACCUCGAUGUCGGCUCAUCACAUCCUGGGGCUGUAGUCGGUCCCAAGGGUAUGGCUGUUCGCCAUUUAAAGUGGUACGCGAGCUGGGUUCAGAACGUCGUGAGACAGUUCGGUCCCUAUCUGCCAUGGGCGUUGGAGAUUUGAGAGGGGCUGCUCCUAGUACGAGAGGACCGGAGUGGACGAACCUCUGGUGUUCCGGUUGUCACGCCAGUGGCAUUGCCGGGUAGCUAUGUUCGGAAGCGAUAACCGCUGAAAGCAUCUAAGCGGGAAGCGCGCCUCAAGAUGAGAUCUCCCGGGGCACAAGCCCCCUGAAGGAACCAUGUAGACUACGUGGUUGAUAGGUCAGGUGUGUAAGUACAGCAAUGUAUUGAGCUAACUGAUACUAAUGAUCCGUGCGGCUUGACC